UACGUAGGGCGCAAGCGUUGUCCGGAAUUAUUGGGCGUAAAGAGCUCGUAGGCGGUUUGUCGCGUCUGCCGUGAAAGUCCGGGGCUCAACUCCGGAUCUGCGGUGGGUACGGGCAGACUAGAGUGCAGUAGGGGAGACUGGGAAUUCCUGGUGUAGCGGUGAAAUGCGCAGAUAUCAGGAGGAACACCGAUGGCGAAGGCAGGUCUCUGGGCAUUAACUGACGCUGAGGAGCGAAAGCAUGGGGAGCGAACAGG
rnacentral:rRNA from 1 species